CUUGCUAUCCUAACAUCAUGUUAUAUUCGUUGUAGCACGCAUUUCAUUUCCACUGUAUAUCACGAUGGUUAAAAACACGCCAAGUUUGUCCCUUAGACAACCGCGAGUGGGAAUUUCAGAAGUAAGUAUUUAAACAUCUAAUAAGUAUAUAGGUAAUAGUAUGGUUUCGAGUGGAAUUUUGGAAAAACAUGCACGUGUGAGUUUUUUAAAGAAGUGAGUUUAAGAUACCCCUGUUUCGGUGUACGGGUACGGGUAGCAUGAUUUUGGUUAGCAAUAUUUUCGUCCAUGCUUGUAUCUUCACUCGCAAUUAAGGUGCACAUUUUCGCAUUAUAUCAUUGUCUAUUGCAAGAAAACAGAAAAAGUAUGAUCGAAUUACAGACAUCAGUAAAAACUAGUAAACAAAGAUGACACUACUCGUACACCGAAACCGGGGUAUCAUAAACUCACUAGACUAUCAAAAUUGCACGAAUCCGAAGGACGAGUGCAAUUUGAAGGCUUUGAAAAACUCACGAGUGUAUGUUUUUUCAAAUUGCACGAGAAACCAUACUAUUACUUAUUAAUAGUAUACAUGAAAAAAUUACGCAGCCACGUGCGUAAGUCACAUUUAGAAAUUAAGAAACUAAGAAAAUUAAGAAAUUUGAAAAAUAAAAAUUAAGAAAAUUUAGAAAAUUUAAAAAAUUUGCACUGCAUUUCGUUUUUUUGCACUGUAUUUCAUUUUUUGGCACUGUAUUUCGAAAAAAAUUGCACUGCUCUUAGCCAAUCAGAAUUGAGAAUUUUGUUUCAUGUCUAUUAUUAGAUAUCUAGUUGAAUUUAAGUCGAUUACAAACGAGCAAGUCUUCUAUGAAAAGUUUUUGUAUGACACGUUUUAUUUGCUCUUCUGCAUGGGUAACUUUGUCAUGGGUAAUUUUUUUUGCUAUGACAAGUACUAACACUUGUUCGAAAGCAUUAUGUUAGCUUUUGAACAAGUAGAAAAAAAUUGUCAGGAUACAAAUAUGGUUCGUUUGUGCGGGUCUACAAAGAAAUUUGGCAAACAUUAAGCAAGCGACGUUCUUGUUGACGUCAGAUUGCCGAAGGGGGACUGCAUGGAUUAAAAACUGUAUUCUUAUCAGUUUGUGGCAAUCUAACCAACCCAGGUUUAAUCUUAUUUAGGCAAGGCAUUUAUACUCAGUCAAAAGGAAAGCAAGUUUUGCUUGUUUCGAAUUGAAACUAUAUAUACACUGCAAUUGCUUGCAGUUUUUAUACAUGCAGUUACUCUACAGGGUGUAUCAAAAAAAGCGCAACCUCGGAAUUUCCCAAGAAAUCGACAUUGUUUUAAAGGCAAAAGAUUUUAGGCGCCUGGGAAUUUAAAAUAGCAUAACUGUCAAAAUUACUGCACACGCGAGUGCAUAAAGCAAAAUUUAUGCAUAUUUAUUUAAUGCACAACAACAGUAAUAUGAUCUAUUAGGCCCGUUUCAUACGCCGUACUUCACAUGUGCCGAAUACAUUAAAGACAAUAGAUAAUGAGCUGAAAUGCCUCAUUAUCUAUUGUUUUUAAUGUAUUCGGCACAUGUGAAGUACGGCGUAUGAAACGGGCCCUUAGCAAUUCGAUUUCAAUUCCCAGGGGCCUAAAAUCUUUUAUGCUUAAGAAUUGCAAAGUGAUUUCUUAGGAAAUUCCGACGUUGCGUUUUUUUUUAUACACCCUGUAUAUAUACUCCAGUUUUUAAAGUUUAAGAUUUAAAACAAUUUUAUUCUUUUUUUCUCCAGGUAUGGUAGAUAGCACUGUUAAUCGGUGGUGGAUUGUGUAUUUAUACCAGUUAUAAUGCCUUACAGUAUAUACAUAACUUUUAUUUGUGUAAGGUAGAUUCCUAUUCGUUAUGUUUUGUUAUUCCAUAACUGUUUAAGGCCUAGCUGUUUCAAACGUCGCGCUUCUCAGGUGCCGAACGCAUUAGAAACAAUAGAUCAUUAGGCAUUUCAGCCGAUUAUCUAUUGUUUUUAAUGCGUUCGGCACAUGAGAAGCGCGACGUUUGAAACAGGCCUAAUAUAAGUAAGUAAGUAAGUAAGUAAAUAAAUAAAUGUUUUGAAUAUUGGUCGUUUAACUGGAGUAUUGACCUUUUGUUUUUCUAUCUGUCAUAUAUACGACCGAGAGAGUAGAAUAACUGUUAUAUUAUAUAGACAACUACUGCAUUUACAGACUCUUCAGUAUAUGGCAAUAUUUUGACAGUUAGUUUGGGAAUCCACAAAAUAGUUUUCAACACUCAUUUUCUAAAUUGAUACUUCAAACAUUGC